rnacentral:rRNA from 1 species
UACGGGGGGGGUAAGCGUUGUUCGGAAUUACUGGGCGUAAAGGGCUCGUAGGCGGCCAACUAAGUCAUACGUGAAAUCCCUCGGCUUAACCGGGGAACUGCGUCUGAUACUGGAUGGCUUGAGUUUGGGAGAGGGAUGCGGAAUUCCAGGUGUAGCGGUGAAAUGCGUAGAUAUCUGGAGGAACACCGGUGGCGAAGGCGGCAUCCUGGACCAACACUGACGCUGAGUGAGUGAAAGCCAGGGGAGCAAACGGG